rnacentral:lncRNA from 15 species
AUUUUAUGAAUGUUUGUUUCAGCUUUUUUAUGUCUGUGUCUGUACAGGAUUCCCUGGGCCUCGUGGUGAAUAUGGUAGUCCAGGUGUUCCAGGUGUUCCAGGUGAUCAUGGGGGCCUGGGACCACCAGGCCCACCUGGACCAAAUGGGCCUCCAGGUACUAAGAUAACAACAGAUUCCUCCUGUCACUGGAUAGGCAGGGUACACACAUUGGAAGUGUCUACUAUGUUAUUUGUAUUGGCUUGUAUCUUUGCUUAAAUUCAGUGUCAAAGGGGUUCUAAAAUGUUGCUGCCAAUAAAAAGUCAGAAAUGCAGCCGUUUGCAUGUGGACAAAUUCAUAAUGAGGGAUGUGCUUAUCUUCUGUUGUUGUAAGUAAAAUGUCAGAAGACAUGUGGGCAAGGAAAAAAACAAAUCCAGGUGAUAUGCUAAAGGGAAAAUGCUUUUGAGUGUUGAAGACACCCAACAGGAGUAUUCUUAUGCUGUAUUGUGAUUCUAUGUUAGGCCCCCCUGGACCACCAGGUCUGCAUGGACUUGAUGGGCUUAGAGGUCCAAAUGGAAUGAAAGGAGCACAUGGUAAGAGGGAAAAAGUUUAUCAUCAUUUCUUUACUUGACUUUUAUGGUGUAUCUGUUAGUAUAGAUUUUUUGUUUAUAUAGUAUCUUGUAUAUAUAUUAAUGCAAUUGUGAACUUUGUAUUGACAAAUUGUCAAAGUAAAUUAAUUAGUGUAAUUUCAGUAUAUUUGUCAGUAUAUGUCACUUGUCAAAUGUAUUGGUUUAUCAUUUCAAGGCAUAGGUAUCCCGGGCUCUCCAGGACCACAUGGAUUUCCUGGAGUCAAAGGUCUCAGGGGCCACCCUGGUCCUCCAGGAGGCACUUUUCCUGGCCGUAAAGGCCAAAGGGGCCCACCUGGCGACAGAGGUAUUACGUCUGUUAUGAUUUCUUACCAUUCAACAUGUUAUCUGUUAUGGUCACUCAGAUCAUAAUGUGCUUUUAUUACCAUUUAGCACUCUGUUGCACCGCUGAGUAUGGAUACUGUUCCAUUCCUCUAUAUAGUAUUAUUCAAGAUAAGGUAUUAAGCUUUUCCGUGUUUCUUUCCUCAGGUCUUCUAGGCUUCCCAGGUGAACCUGGUUACCCUGGCAAAGAAUGCCACAUGCCUUUGCCAGGACCCUGGGGAGAGGAAGGAUAUGAAGGACCUCCAGGACCCCCAGGUCAUCCUGGGGCACCAGGCCCUCCAGGCAGUAGCCUCUUCUACAAAGGAGACCCAGGCCCAAUUGGCCUCCCUGGGUUACCAGGUCAUAAGGGAGAUAAGGGCCUCAGAGGACCUCCUGGAUUUCCGGGCUACCCAGGCUUUCCAGGACCAAAAGGUACAUUACAGUGCAAGACUGCUAACAUUAAUAUUUACAGUGUUGUCAAACACUUGAAUUAACUCAAAAUGUUGCUACAUAGGUGAAAGAGGUCCUUCUGGUCCCAGGGGUCCUCUAGGACCGAGAGGUCAGAAAGGUGCUCCUGGGGCUAGAGGCCGCAAGGGAGUAACUGGCCCAGCCGGACACCCAGGUGAGUGGCACUGUAGCUAAGAGAUAUGCUGAUUAUAAAAAACACAUAUUGUUUUAACUUUACU